GAGAAUUGGAAGUGUUUGGUGCAUCUUGCUGCAUGCAUCUAGUACAGUGAGGCUAGAAGCAACGCUAGAAAUUAUGUUAACAGGAGUGGCACGUAGCUGACCUGCAUGGUAUUCACCAAUAGGCAGGAGCACAUUCUCCCCCAAGUUAAUAAUUUCUUAUCCCUUGGAUGACUCUGUAAAUACAUGUGCAGUACAGCUGGAGCUACAGAAGUACUAAAACAGUUUACAGUGAUGUUGGACAGUUAAUACACGGAAAAAUGCAGUGGAUAUCAGACACAAGAUCAUUCCCACGUCCAGCUGACAGCUUAGUGCCAGAAAUGCAGUGCUACUCAAUAGACUUUGGUGGACUUCUGCAGGCGCUGCUAAACCUGAUGGAGGUAUUACUGCACAGUAGAACCACUCAUUUUCCUGACAUCCA
rnacentral:lncRNA from 1 species